rnacentral:rRNA from 1 species
UACGAAGGGGGCUAGCGUUGCUCGGAAUCACUGGGCGUAAAGCGCACGUAGGCGGGUCUUUAAGUCAGGGGUGAAAUCCUGGAGCUCAACUCCAGAACCGCCUUUGAUACUGAGGAUCUCGAGUCCGGGGGAGGUGAGUGGAACUCCGAGUGUAGAGGUGAAAUUCGUAGAUAUUCGGAAGAACACCAGUGGCGAAGGCGGCUCACUGGCCCGGUACUGACGCUGAGGUGCGAAAGCGUGGGGAGCAAACAGG